rnacentral:rRNA from 1 species
UACGUAGGUGACAAGCGUUGUCCGGAUUUACUGGGCGUAAAGAGCGCGCAGGCGGUCGAUCAAGUCGAGUGUGAAAGCCCCCGGCUCAACUGGGGAGGGUCAUUCGAUACUGAUCGACUCGAAGGCAGGAGAGGGUAGUGGAAUUCCCGGUGUAGUGGUGAAAUGCGUAGAUAUCGGGAGGAACACCAGUAGCGAAGGCGACUACCUGGCCUGUUCUUGACGCUGAGGCGCGAAAGCUAGGGGAGCAAACGGGG